AGCGAACGCUGGCGGCAGGCCUAACACAUGCAAGUCGAACGGUGUCUUCGGACAUAGUGGCGCACGGGUGCGUAACACGUAUGCAACCUACCUUACAUUGGGGGAUAGCCUUUCGAAAGGGAGAUUAAUACCGCAUAAGACAGUAGCUGGGCAUCCAGCAGCUGUUAAAGAUUUAUCGAUGUAAGCUGGGCAUGCGUCCAAUUAGCUAGUUGGUGAGGUAACGGCUCACCAAGGCAAUGAUUGGUAGGGGAACUGAGAGGUCAAUCCCCCACCCUGGCACUGAGAUACGGGCCAGACUCCUACGGGAGGCAGCAGUAGGGAAUAUUGGGCAAUGGACGCAAGUCUGACCCAGCCAUGCCGCGUGCAGGAUGAAGGCGUUAUGCGUUGUAAACUGCUUUUAUACAGGAAGAAACGACUCUUGCGAGAGGCAUUGACGGUACUGUAUGAAUAAGCACCGGCUAACUCCGUGCCAGCAGCCGCCGUAAAAC
rnacentral:rRNA from 1 species